GGUAAUUGUUGCAGAAAUUUAUCCCUCCUGCCAUAGCUCAAACGCAAGGCUCAGAUUUGCUAUUUUUAACCAGAGGCUAUUCUAGAAGUCAUUAGCUAGUCAGUUCAACUCCUGAAUACAUAUGGUCUUCUUAGAAUGUUAUACAGGCCUCAAUAACAACCCCUUGACAGCUAUUUUCUUCCUUCUUUCCUUUCCUUUCCUUUUUUUCUUUUAUAGUUACUUUCCUCCCUCUGAGGUCACUAUGAGAAAAAUACUCAAAGCAGAGGAAACAAAUAUUUAUCAGCUUGAAAAGGAACUGUUCUAAUGCUGAUGUCAUAUAAAAUGAGGCCAAAAUUAUACAAAAACAGGCCAAGGUACUGUGUGACAUACUAUGAACCCAAAGAAGAUUGUGCUGAGCUUUUGGAAGUGCACCUGCCCUGCCUCUUUAACUUUUGUGAGUACUGUAGUUUGAACAUGAUUUGCCCUACAAAACAAGAAAACCUGAUAGCCACAUUCUGUUCUAUUCAUCCACCAAGUUAUUGGCUGUAGUGAGUGAUGCAUGUCCUGGGGAACUGGAGACCAGUGCUGAGUGAAUUUGGUGACUUCAUUGCCAUCUGGCAUGAAUAUCAGAGAAAUUACCCGGCCUGCUGCCACAUGUCUAAGUGGAUGUUUGACAAGGCCUGGUCCUAGGGGACAGCAGAAGAGAAAUAUCGAGGACCAAGGGACUGGAGGAAGGUAGAAAGAAGUGACCACAUAAACACCGUUGGCGGAAACAUUCAGCUCUCUCCAGCCCCGUGCGACCUCAGGAGCUAGAUGGAACCAUUUCUUUAGGGAAAGCUGGCAGUUGUUUAUACAACCGCAAGCUGAGCAUCCAGGUGACCAGUCCAGCGUUUCUUCCCCAGCACCUCUCUGCACACUUCUCUUUUUCCUCUUUGCAGAAAGUCAGUGGGAACAGGACCCUUUCCUUGAAUCUUUCCUAGAGGAUUUCAAGAGCCCAGCUCUCAGGUUUGGGGCUUACCUCACUGAUGCUCUUGGAAGCAGGCCAGGAAGACGCGGUCAUUUCCACCUCCUACCGCUAGAGAGCAGCGCGUCACCACAGGGACCCUUGAGCCGCGAAACGCUUCGCCUUGUGCGGAGAGAAUCCUCCCCAAGGCCUGGACGCAGUUCUUCCAAUUCCGUUUCCCCAGGGUUUGGCCUAGGAUCUUGGACAGCACUUUAUAAUUACAGACAUUCUGCCUGCUCAGGCCUCUCACCCCAGGCUGUGCCCCCGCAGGUGUUCAGACAUUUCUGUUGCCUGUUGAGGAGAAAAUGGACUGAGGGAACGAGGGCAGAGGGACAGCGCCAUCGGCCGGGCAGGACUCUGGCUGGACUCACUCCCGGCGCCCCUGCGAACUGGGGGACACAUUACAAAAUUACCCAGGAGACACUGAGGGCCUCUGCUCCAUCCCUUGCCAAUUCUGAGAAUAGUGCAGCCACAAGGAGGAUUGUUCUGAGGCUUCACACAAGGCACAAAGACCCCAAGCACUGUCCUCUGGCCACCUACAGCCUCUCUGACUCUGCACUGCCUCUGACCCUGCAGUGCCUACUUGAGCAAAGCAAUGUUUGAAAACCAUUUCCAGCCUGGCUAAUGAUGCAGUGCUUUGAAAAGUGCCACCAGGAUGAAAAAACAGCUCACAAAUGGGGACUCCUCGUUAUUUUACCAGCACAGCUGGCAAAAACCUCCUGCCAAGCAAGAUCAAACUUCUCAGGAAUGUUUUGAAAAGCUGGUGGAAACAAGGGCCUCUGUCACACUUCUGUCACACCUCACCCAAGCAUGUGGGGAAAGCUUACUUGGAACGGAUGUUAGUCUCAGAAACACACAAAAUUGAUGUCUCCAGCAGCAUUGCCAUUUCCACUGCAGACUUAAAGCUACAUCUUUCUGGAUUCUAAUGCAGAAAAGGAACAGUUAGAGAAACGAUUCAGGCUUUUUCUAAAAUGAGAGCAGGUUAAAGGUGCUGUUUAAAAAGGUGCCUCUCAAAGCUUCCCUCCUGCCCUUCCAUACCAGGAGCCUGAGCUUAAUUACCUGCAUGAUUUUCCUGGUUCCUGUGCUGUGGUCCAGGUGCCCUCUCUGUCCACUGGAAGCUGAGCCGUCUGUCAGACACCUCCCUCUGGCCUCCCCAGGGUUCCCUCUCACCUACACAUCUCGAUUAGCAGAUGACAGUUCUGCUGUAAUGUUUAUUUUACCUCUGACAGAUUUUCAGCUAAGUAGGUGUAGGGGUGGGGGUUCCCUGCCCAGAACCAGUUCUAGGCUUCCUUUGGCUCCUCCUUCCAGUCUGCUAGGAAAAGGAACCUGGAGGCUUUUAGGAGGGAGGAGAGAUCACAUUUUCUUUGGUAUUGAGUAGUGAAGGUCAGGUCCUCCUUGCCAGCCACAAAGCAGAGAAUUGUUUGUUUAUUUUUCCGAGUAGCACUGUUCUGUCUCUCUGAGCAGCAGACAAAACCAGAAAAGGGAAUUUAUUCUGUG
rnacentral:lncRNA from 1 species